CCUACGGGCGGCUGCAGUGGGGAAUAUUGGACAAUGGGCGAAAGCCUGAUCCAGCCAUGCCGCGUGUGUGAAGAAGGCCUUCGGGUUGUAAAGCACUUUCAGUGGGGAAGAAAGCCUUGGGGCUAAUACCCUCGAGGAAGGACAUCACCCACAGAAGAAGCACCGGCUAACUCCGUGCCAGCAGCCGCGGUAAUACGGAGGGUGCGAGCGUUAAUCGGAAUUACUGGGCGUAAAGCGCGCGUAGGCGGUCUGAUAAGCCGGUUGUGAAAGCCCCGGGCUCAACCUGGGAACGGCAUCCGGAACUGUCAGGCUAGAGUGCAGGAGAGGAAGGUAGAAUUCCCGGUGUAGCAGUGAAAUGCGUAGAGAUCGGGAGGAAUACCAGUGGCGAAGGCGGCCUUCUGGACUGACACUGACGCUGAGGUGCGAAAGCGUGGGUAGCAAACAGGAUUAGAUACCCGUGUAGUC
rnacentral:rRNA from 1 species